rnacentral:rRNA from 1 species
AGCGAACGCUGGCGGCAGGCCUAACACAUGCAAGUCGAACGAACCUUUCGGGGUUAGUGGCGGACGGGUGAGUAACACGUGGGAACGUGCCUUUAGGUUCGGAAUAACACAGGGAAACUUGUGCUAAUACCGAAUGUGCCCUUCGGGGGAAAGAUUUAUCGCCUUUAGAGCGGCCCGCGUCUGAUUAGCUAGUUGGUUGAGGGAAUGGCUCACCAAGGCGACGAUCAGUAGCUGGUCUGAGAGGAUGAUCAGCCACAUUGGGACUGAGACACGGCCCAAACUCCUACGGGAGGCAGCAGUGGGGAAUCUUGCGCAAUGGGCGAAAGCCUGACGCAGCCAUGCCGCGUGAAUGAUGAAGGUCUUAGGAUUGUAAAAUUCUUUCACCGGGGACGAUAAUGACGGUACCCGGAGAAGAAGCCCCGGCUAACUUCGUG